rnacentral:rRNA from 1 species
UACAGAGGGUGCAAGCGUUAAUCGGAAUUACUGGGCGUAAAGCGUGCGUAGACGGUUAUGUAAGUCGGGUGUGAAAGCCCCGGGCUCAACCUGGGAAUGCCAUUCGAGACUGCAUAGCUAGGGUGCGGAAGAGGGAAGCGGAAUUUCAGGUGUAGCGGUGGAAUGCGUAGAUAUCUGAAGGAACACCAGUGGCGAAAGCGGCUUCCUGGUCCAGCACCGACGUUCAGGCACGAAAGCGUGGGGAGCAAACAGG